rnacentral:rRNA from 1 species
AAUUUGUUACAAGGGGGGAAACCCUGAUCCAGCCAUCCCGCGUGUAUGAUGAAGGCCNNNGGGUUNUCAAGUACUUUUUUCAGNGACNAAAAGGUAUCUCCUAAUACGAGAUACUGCUGACGGUAUCUGCAGAAUAAGCAUCGGCUACCUACGUGCCAGCAGACGCGGUAAUACGUAGGGUGCAAGCGUUAAUCGGAAUUACUGGGCGUAAAGCGUGUGUAGGCGGUUCGGAAAGAAAGAUGUGAAGACACAGCGCUCAACCUUGGAACUGCAUUUUUAACUGCCGGGCUAGAGUAUGUCAGAGGGGGGUAGAAUUCCACGUGUAGCAGUGAAAUGCGUAGAUAUGUGGAGGAAUACCGAUGGCGAAGGCAGCCCCCUGGGAUAAUACUGACGCUCAGACACGAAAGCGUGGGGAGCAAACA